UACAAUGUUUCAGACUAAUGUAUUUUCCUCUAGACAGUUUUUAAGUAUUACCUAAAUCUAUUACAUUCAUGGGAUGGGAGUGUUUUACACAUGUGACUGUGGCAUAACCUCCUGUAUCAUAAUGGAAAUAUGUUUGAGAACCACCACAAUAGUCCAAAUGCUGAGAUGGGAAUACUUGCUGUAUAGAAUUGCUCUGUUCUCUACACAGAAUUGGUUAUGUUUAGCAAACAGUGUGAUUAUUCUCGGUGUGUUUGUAUAUACAUCUGUGCAUAUGUGAUGGGCACUGUGUUUAUACAUAAAUGCCUGUAUAUAUACCAUUUGAAAGUCCUUGUCAGGAUUGUUUCUGUUUCUGAUCUGGUCUCUUAAAUACUUUAAAACUCAAGAGGUAAAACAUUGUGUGUAUUAUAGGCAAAACUACCCUUGAGUUUAUGGUAGUUUAGUUUGUAGAAAGGAUUCCUGGGUCCUUUAUUAAACUUUGCCUCCUCCAUUCAACAUUCUAUGACUUGUUAAGAAUGUAUAAAGUAUCAUUGUUGAGUUUGACUUUUCUAUACAGUUAGUUAAGAAACCAAGACUAGUGUGAAUUGAGUAAAUGGCAUGUUGAUGCAACCUAUCCAUGUUUUAUAUUUAAUUAGAUUCCUUAUUCAUUUAAUCAAUUAUUUAGUUUCAAGUUAUACUUGGUUGUUUUUAUAUUUAAUAGAUAAGUAUACAUUCUUUUUCAUGAAAAUAGUGGCUAUUAAUGUGAUUUUAAAUAUGGUUAAAGAUUUAAGUGAAUCAUCAAGCUCUUUGGGAUUUUUCACUUCAACUCUGCUGAUAUUCCAUUAAUGUUUUCUGUUUCCCCUGGAUAUUGGCCAUUAGGCAAAUAGCUGUUCCAUUCCAUUCUUCUGGAGAGUGAUCAAUUCUGUAGGAUUAUGGGGUGCUGCGGUGGUUGUGGCAUUCACCCAGAUCACUGAAGCCGUUAUCUUUUCAUCAGAUAGAAUGUCCUGACCACCUGGAAGAGCAAAUGCAACUUCUCCACAUGCCUUAUUCCCCCAGAUGCGCUGAUAUGCUGGAACAAUCUGGCUCCAGAAGUAUUAAUAAUACUUUUUUGAGACUUGUCUAUCAAAUACUAUUUUGUAAGAACUAUGCCUUUAAAUAGACAUUGAUGGGUUAUAUUUGUUUUAUAAUAAUUGUGUACCUAAUGUUCACUUGUGAUUGAUUUUGAGAUUUAUGUAUAUUUAUAAGCCUGUCCUAUGUGAAUUUUUACUCUAUGAUGUGUGGUACCUUACUAAUAAAGACAUGGAUUUCUGUUUAUGUAAAGUAAUGGUAGCAAUAUUCCUAGAUGCUUUCUAAGUGAUUAUUCUGUCCAUAUGAUAUCACGAAUACUCCUGUAUUUAGAGGAUUAUGUUAGAGUUAGAAUAUAUUAACUAGGUUUAAACUUUAAAAUAUAAAUUCUCAACAUGGUUUGAAAUUCUUCAGUUGAUGUAAUUAAAGUUUGUAAUUCUUUACUGCUUUA
rnacentral:lncRNA from 1 species